rnacentral:rRNA from 1 species
AACGAACGCUGGCGGCAUGCCUAACACAUGCAAGUCGAACGAGACCUUCGGGUCUAGUGGCGCACGGGUGCGUAACGCGUGGGAACCUGCCCUUAGGUUCGGAAUAACUCCCCGAAAGGGGUGCUAAUACCGGAUAAUGUCUUCGGACCAAAGAUUUAUCGCCUUUGGAUGGGCCCGCGUUGGAUUAGCUAGUUGGUAGGGUAAAAGCCUACCAAGGCGACGAUCCAUAGCUGGUCUGAGAGGAUGAUCAGCCACACUGGGACUGAGACACGGCCCAGACUCCUACGGGAGGCAGCAGUGGGGAAUAUUGGACAAUGGGCGAAGGCCUGAUCCAGCAAUGCCGCGUGAGUGAUGAAGGCAUUAGGGUUGUAAAGCUCUUUUACCCGGGAUGAUAAUGACAGUACCGGGAGAAUAAGCUCCGGCUAACUCCGUG